CCGCUUGCAGGUAAACAGAUGGACCCACGAAGUCCUGUUGAGUGAGAGAUUCAUAUCUUUCGAAAGGCGAUGAGGUUAGUGAUGUCCACUCGUGGAUAAGCUGGCUUUUGCUGUCAAUUGAAAGAUGCAUUUCUCUUGCUCACGUUGGAGCUCUGACGGCUUCUUCGACUUUAACUGCUUAGGCAGCCAUUGAUUGUGGUUGAGUCUUCGGAUUCAUUUCACUUUUGAUGGUGAUAAAGUUAGGUUGAAUGGAGUUGGUGAAUUUCUUACUUUUGUAAGUUUUCAGGUUGUCGGUAUGAUGCUGUUGUCAAAGAUGCGGCAUAGGGAAUUUUCGUCUCUCGUAGAAGAAAACCUCUAUGUUUGUGUCUUUAAGUACAACGGUAGCAUAUCAAUGAUGAUCCAGAGUAAGUAGGUCGGUCAUCCAUCUGACCCGUCUUGAAACACGGACCAAGGAGCCCAACAUUUGCGCGAGUCGCUCGGUCUUGCAUAGGCCCGAGAGGCGAAAUAAACAUAAUGGUAUGAUCCUGUUCUUCUUUCGAGGGAAUGGGCGCAAUACCAACCUGCUUAUCUUGCCUUUUGACAGGAAAGCGGAGUUUGAGCGUAAAUGUUGGUACCCGAAAGAUGGUGAACUAUACUUGGGCAAGACGAAGCCAGAGGAAACUCUGGUGGAGGUCUGUAGCGAUUCUGACGUGCAAAUCGAUCGUCAGACCUGAGUAUAGGGGCGAAAGACUAAUCGAACCAUCUAGUAGCUGGUUCCCUCCGAAGUUUCCCUCAGGAUAGCUGGUACUAAUACUCUGUAGCACCCGGUAAAGCGAAUGAUUAGAGGUCUUGGGAUCGAAACGAUCUCAACCUAUUCUCAAACUUUAAAUGGGUGCGGAGCUUGACUUAUUUGGAGUAAAGUCUUGCUUUGUAAGAGGAGUACCAAGUGGGCCAUUUUUGGUAAGCAGAACUGGCGCUGUGGGAUGAACCAAACGCAGAGUUAAAGCACCAAAUGCCGACGCUCAUGAGACCCCAUGAAAGGUGUUGGUUGCUAUAGACAGC
rnacentral:rRNA from 1 species